AAAUAAUCCAACGGAAAUUUCAUUCGUAUACUUCUGUGUGGUCUGAAGCCAGACCCAGAAGCAAAACACCAGCUGAGCAUUUCGUUUCAGCUAAAACGAUGAUGACGAUGAUCGCACUCCCUCCUCUUUCCUCCUCUCCCAAAACCCUAUCCGUCCUCUCCUCUUCCUCCACAAAUCCCCACCUCAAUCCUAAUCCCAAACCCAAAAACCCUCGCCGCCUGCAAAACCUCCUCCUCGGCUCGAUCGCCGGAGCCCUAGCCUUCACCAUCGUCUCCUCUCCCCCUCUCCCUUCCCUCGCUUCAAACCCUCCGGCGAUGGAUCCCUCCCUCUGCGUAGAAGAAUCGUCGACCGAAGCGAUGGAGGACGAGAGGCCAUCAGAGUCGAUAACGAACGAGGAGAUUGUGGAGGAAGCUUGGGAGGUCAUCAACGACAGCUACGUCGGCGACGUCGGGAGUCGACCUUGGUCUCCUGAGAUCUGGAAGAAAGAGAAAGAUUAUGUCCUUAGUGGGAAGAUUCAGACGAGGGCUAGAGCUCAUGAUGCCAUUCGAAAGUCUGGCCACUGUUGGGAUCCCUACUACGAGAUUCUGUCUCCUGCCGAGUUCUCAAAAAUGGCAAGGUAUGAUGUAUCCGGAAUUGGGAUAAACCUUAGGGAAAUUCCUGACAACAAUGGUGCAGUCAGGUUGAAGGUAUUAGGGAUCAUCUUAGAUGGUCCUGCUCAUUCAGCUGGUGUGAGACAGGGGGAUGAACUCUUGUCUGUAAACGGAGUUGAUGUCAAGGGGAAAUCGGCAUUUGAUGUUUCCACUAUGCUGCAAGGCCCGAAGGAAACAUUUGUUACUAUUGAGGUGAAACAUGGAACUUGUGGUCCAACUCAAAGCAUUAAAGUCCAAAGGCAAUCAAUUGCUCGAACUCCAAUAUUUUAUCGUUUAGAAAAGAUGGAGAAUGGAAAUGUUUCAGUUGGAUACAUACAUAUCAAAGAGUUCAAUGCAUUGGCUAGAAAAGACUUGAUUACUGCGCUGAGACGCCUUCAAGAAUCUGGUGCUUCUUACUUUGUUUUGGAUCUCAAAGAUAAUCUUGGUGGACUCGUGCAGACUGGCAUUGAGGUUGCUAAUCUCUUCCUGACGAGAGGAGAAACGGUCAUCUAUACUGUUGGGAGGGACCCACAAGUACAGAAAAGGAUUAUUGCAGAUACUGCGCCUGUGAUUACAAAUCCUGUCAUUGUCUUGGUGAAUAACAGAACUGCAAGUGCAAGCGAAAUUGUUGCUUCGGCUCUUCAUGAUAACUGCAAAGCUAUUGUUGUGGGAGAGAGAACUUUUGGCAAGGGUUUGAUACAAUCGGUUUUCGAGCUUCAUGAUGGAUCUGGUGUGGUAGUCACCAUUGGGAAGUAUGUCACGCCAAAUCACAAGGAUAUCAAUGGAAAUGGAAUAGAACCAGAUUUCCCACGCCUUCCGGCUUUACGUGAAAUCAACGAAACUCUUUCACGAUGUCAAAUUCAAAGGACUUGAUAAACAAAGGUCCUUCACAUUGUAGUGGGUGACAAGCUAACAAUGAAGAUCACAUGUAGCUGGAGUUAUUAACUAUUAAGAUAUAUGGUUCAUGCUAUAGUGAGUGAACUAUCCAAACAGGUAUGUGGUUUGUUGUAUUGUUAUUUUCUGAAAUGGUGUACGCAUAAUUCAUUUUUUGCAAUAAUUGUUUACACCUCAGUUAUAUCAGCAUCAAUUAGUAAGUUAAUAUCAUUUUUUAUUACGCAUACAGAUGUGCUGUGUCAUGCACGCAUCGCGUGUAUCAUAAUACUAGUGUUCAAUAAAUAAUACUAAAGGUGGAUUUUGGCCCUUCCAUAUGGCGAAAGUGGAUGAUUUUGGAGAAAAUGAGGCAUGAAGGAGAAUACCAAUUUCUGGAGAAUAAUGUUAAUUAACAGUACCAGAGACGUGUGCAUUUGUGCAGAAGUUGAUUGCAUUAUUUUAUUCUUUAUCUGUGAAUUUAUUGUGCUCCAAAACAAAUUAUACCAUCUUACUUCUUUGUCUAGCCCAUUGAGUGGAAUAGGGCGUGUUUCAAAUAUUUUAUCAUUUUUCUUUUUCAUAUUCUUUUGAAGUAUUUCAAUUGCAAACAUGUGUAACACACACACAAACACAUUUCGACAUAAUUUAACUAUGCAGUAUAUAAUCUGAUUAUGCAUUAUGUGCUGUCCAAACACAUGCAUAAUGACUGCGUAUUUGCAAUAUUGCAUGUGUUGGUGUAGGUAAAUGUUAGAAACGAUCCAAGAACCUUCCCUGCAUUUUGGUGCAAUAUAGAUGAUGUACCAUUGCAAGCUUAUGAGUAUGAAUCCUAUCAGAACACCCCCACAUAGUGUGGGGCGUUCUGAACCUACUGACGAGGAUUGUGGGAGGUAUUUUGGUAAUUUGCAGGACUCAUAUAUGGUUCAGAUUGCCCCCCACCAUGGCGCAUUUUGAUAGGAAUCAUACUCUUAAGAUUAUUGGACUCACAAGAAAUAGGAAAUAUGCAGAUGACUUAUCAUAGUUAAUUAUUUCAGUUUUAGAAAAUUGUUCUUGUUGCAUGAGGAAUGGAUGUUGUGCCAUUUAGUUUCAUGUGGUUAGUUGGGUUCCUUGCUUGUUGAUUCCAGUGUAUUGUGAUCUUUUUAAGGAGGCUAUUUAAAUUGACAGUUCUUUGUAGCUGUCAUUGAUGUGCUUAACUGCAAAGUGAUUCUGGUUAGCUUCGGAUGGCAAUCUAAGGGUUAGGAGCUUCCUUCCUGCAGCUGUGUGCUUUGGUGAACAAUCCGUCUUCACACAGAAAAAUGGUAAUCAAGCAAUCAGUCUGGCUACUCAACUCACAGAUCAACAGGCCGGUAACUGCUCUUUAUGAUGAUGAAUAUAAUCUGCAUCCAGUAUAUACACCUUUUCCAUUUAGAAGUCGUAGCACUCUUUUUCUGAUAGAGAAAAUAUCCAAGACAUGUGAUGUAUGGCAACUGUUUCAGUACUGUGGCGCUUUCUUCGCUUCUCUUAAAACAAUAUUUUCAGUGUUGCCAUAACUUGUUCUUUUGUUUCUGAUUGAGUAUCUAACGCUUGGGGAAAAACAAUAUACCUUGUCAUCUCUUAUAUAA